UACCGUGAGGGAAAGGUGAAAAGAACCCUAAAUAAGGGAGUGAAAUAGAACCUGAAACCAGUUAUUUACAAGCGGUCGAAGCCUUCGGGCGACGGCGUGCCUUUUGCAUAAUGAUCCUACGAGUUACUCCUCACUAGCGAGGGUAAGGAUUGAAGAUCCGCACCCGAAGCGAAAGCAAGUCUUAAAUAGGCGCUUAGUUAGUGGGGGUAGACGCGAAACCAAGUGAUCUACC
rnacentral:rRNA from 1 species